AUGCCGAGGAAGAAGCUAGCGUGGGCGAGAGCGGCGAGGAGCAUUCGGAGGCCGAGGAGGACGAGGAGAGCGAUGAAUCGACCGAUGACGAAGAAGUCGACUCGCCUCCUCGCAGGAAGAGGAGAUCCAAACACGCUCACGACUCGGCGAGCGCUCCGGACUUGGUGGCUGCGCCGACUGGUCAGUCUUCGAAGCGUCCUAGGACGUCUUCCCCAACACCGACUGAAAAGGCUCCAAAGCAGUCUAAAGUUGUGCCACCUCCAGCGCCGAAAGCUACCUACUCCAAACUGCCAAAAGCUUUGCCCAGGAUCAAAGUGA
rnacentral:rRNA from 1 species